CACCCUUCCAGACAGUCAAGGCCUCAAGGGUUGACUUCCAGAAGAUUCGCUGUAUAAAAAAAGGUUUUCUUAAAUGUUGUUUUAAUAACUUCUUUGGAGGUAAAAGGAAAUAAAACUGACUGAAUGCCCAGAUCUUCAGGAGGAAAGGAAGGGCACACGGAAGGUGAAUUCACCCAGAGAACUCUGGCAAAGCCACUAUGGUACCGGCACAGCAAAUCAAAGCCACUCUGUGUUCACCUAGGGCUGCUUGAAACCACAAGAUGCUAAGAAACCCCUACAGUGUCGCUCCCAUGCCCCCCGGCUGGCUACGUGAGUGUGGGAUCCACCAGCACCAGGACUCUGCUACAUCCUGCGGACACAGGAAGAGUCUGUCUCUCAGCCUCCCCCAGUUUGGCCAAAGGAGUGUGGAAAGUGGUGAUGUAAGUCCAGUUC